AACGUAGGAGACGAGCGUUAUCCGGAAUUACUGGGCGUAAAGCGCGAGUAGGCGGUUAGAUAAGUGGUCUGUGAAAGCGUCCGGCUCAACUGGACGAGGCCGGAUCAGACUGUCUGACUAGAGGGUCAGAGAGGCAGGCGGAAUUCCGGGUGUAGUGGUGAAAUGCGUAGAGAUCCGGAGGAACACCAGUGGCGAAGGCGGCCUGCUGGCUGACAACUGACGCUGAGGCGCGAAAGCAUGGGGAGCGAACGGGAUUAGAAACCCCCGUAGUCC
rnacentral:rRNA from 1 species